GCUAUAAGUCUGUUCAGCCAUAAUUUACCUCUUUAAUAUAGGGAUUUCCCCAUUUUAAGUUUUUACACAUUACAAUUUGCCAGAUGAAUGCGUCUAUGUUGCAUUUGAGACCGUAUAACAGCCCAAGAGUGAAAAUUACCCCCAUCAUAGCAUACCAUUUGAAAAAGUAGACAAUCCAGGAUAUUCAAAAUGAGGUAUGUCCAGUCUUUUUUAGAAGCCACUUAGCCAAAUUAGCAUUCAUAUUUGAUUUUUGCAUUUUUCACAGAAAAACUGCACUUUUACUGAUGAUAUCAUCGUUGCGAUAUGUUUUAUUGUUU